rnacentral:rRNA from 1 species
UCCUACGGGGGGCAGCAGUGAGGAAUAUUGGUCAAUGGUCGGGAGACUGAACCAGCCAAGCCGCGUGAGGGAUGAAGGUACAGAGUAUCGUAAACCUCUUUUGUCAGGGAACAAAGGCGGGGACGUGUCCCCGGAUGAGUGUACCUGAAGAAAAAGCAUCGGCUAACUCCGUGCCAGCAGCCGCGGUAAUACGGAGGAUGCGAGCGUUAUCCGGAUUUAUUGGGUUUAAAGGGUGCGCAGGCGGUCUGUUAAGUCAGCGGUCAAAGCCCGGGGCUCAACCCCGGCCCGCCGUUGACACUGGCAGG